rnacentral:rRNA from 1 species
GAGCUUGCUCCCUGAUGUUAGCGGCGGACGGGUGAGUAACACGUGGGUAACCUGCCUGUAAGACUGGGAUAACUCCGGGAAACCGGGGCUAAUACCGGAUGGUUGUUUGAACCGCAUGGUUCAAACAUAAAAGGUGGCUUCGGCUACCACUUACAGAUGGACCCGCGGCGCAUUAGCUAGUUGGUGAGGUAACGGCUCACCAAGGCAACGAUGCGUAGCCGACCUGAGAGGGUGAUCGGCCACACUGGGACUGAGACACGGCCCAGACUCCUACGGGAGGCAGCAGUAGGGAAUCUUCCGCAAUGGACGAAAGUCUGACGGAGCAACGCCGCGUGAGUGAUGAAGGUUUUCGGAUCGUAAAGCUCUGUUGUUAGGGAAGAACAAGUACCGUUCGAAUAGGGCGGUACCUUGACGGUACCUAACCAGAAAGCCACGGCUAACUACGUGCCAGCAGCCGCGGUAAUACGUAGGUGGCAAGCGUUGUCCGGAAUUAUUGGGCGUAAAGGGCUCGCAGGCGGUUUCUUAAGUCUGAUGUGAAAGCCCCCGGCUCAACCGGGGAGGGUCAUUGGAAACUGGGGAACUUGAGUGCAGAAGAGGAGAGUGGAAUUCCACGUGUAGCGGUGAAAUGCGUAGAGAUGUGGAGGAACACCAGUGGCGAAGGCGACUCUCUGGUCUGUAACUGACGCUGAGGAGCGAAAGCGUGGGGAGCGAACAGGAUUAGAUACCCUGGUAGUCCACGCCGUAAACGAUGAGUGCUAAGUGUUAGGGGGUUUCCGCCCCUUAGUGCUGCAGCUAACGCAUUA